rnacentral:rRNA from 1 species
GUGGGGAAUAUUGGACAAUGGGGGGAACCCUGAUCCAGCCAUGCCGCGUGUGUGAAGAAGGCCUUUUGGUUGUAAAGCACUUUAAGCGAGGAGGAGGCUACCGAGAUUAAUACUCUUGGAUAGUGGACGUUACUCGCAGAAUAAGCACCGGCUAACUCUGUGCCAGCAGCCGCGGUAAUACAGAGGGUGCAAGCGUUAAUCGGAUUUACUGGGCGUAAAGCGCGCGUAGGUGGCCAAUUAAGUCAAAUGUGAAAUCCCCGAGCUUAACUUGGGAAUUGCAUUCGAUACUGGUUGGGUAGAGUAUGGGAGAGGAUGGUAGAAUUCCAGGUGUAGCGGUGAAAUGCGUAGAGAUCUGGAGGAAUGCCGAUGGCGAAGGCAGCCAUCUGGCCUAAUACUGACGCUGAGGUACGAAAGCAUGGGGAGCAAACAGGAUUAGAAACCCCUGUAGUCC